UGUGGGAGCUGGCUUGCCUGCGAUGGUAUCGACUUCGCUUGACGGGUGUACCGAGGUGUCUGCAUCGCAGGCAAGCCAGCUCCCACA
rnacentral:misc_RNA from 2 species